ACUUAAAAACUUAAUUCUACUAGAACCAACAGCAGCCUGUUAAGGUCCCUCCAUUACCUCAUGAAUGCCUGUCAAGGACCUUAGGUAUGCCUUGCUCAAGAAUCCCUGAAACCUACUCGAGACCAUGUCAAAGACCUCAAGAGCUCACACAGUACCCACUAGAGCAACCUGAACCUCACUGGAAAGCUUGAACGAGGCCCCAAUUUUUUUGGAAAUUGGAAAACCAAUUCUAGACAGUCCAGAUCCUGCUCAAAGACUCCUUCUGAAUAUGUUCUCACAGAUACCACCAGAUACCACUUUUCUACUUCACUGAGGGACUGAUUGAUUUUUUCCCCUUUCCAAAUCCCUGGGAUGCUUUCAAAUGCCACAUGGGAAAAUUUCAUUAAGAAAUCUUUCAAUAAUUACAUAAAACCCCAGUGUCUUUGUUGUUUGUCCUACAAUCUUAGGAAAAUUACCUGGUUCAACAAGUUCAAAAUUAAGUCCAACUAUCCGACAAAACAGCACUUGGACGCAUCAAAUACCCCAUAUGGAAAUCUCAAAUGUCAGAGCGUCACAUCAGUCCCUGAACGCAGCACCGGUGCGCUCUGGAGAGGCUCCUCGCCCCCAUAGCAGACAGAUGAGAGGGAAACACUGGUGACACAGCAACAGGUUGGAGUUAUUGGACUUUGUGGACACUGCUCUCUUUAUUUUACUCUCUUUUAUAGUGAAGAGUUCUGAGUCUCGGCAACAUUAGUGGUGUGGGGGAAUGUAGUGUGAAAAGUUAUUUGUCAUUUCUUUUGUAUUUUGGUCAAGUAGAGCAUCCUUACGCGUUCAGGUGGCCAUCCAAGAGUUAAGGUUUUUAUAAAUGCAACUUUUGAAACCCUGUCAUAAUCAGCUUGGAUGUAAAGAAAUCUCUGACCAUCUGCAUAAAACAAUCAUUUGUCACCAAAAAGUGGACCAAACUUUUUUUUCCAGUGAAGCAUCACGACAGGUUUAAGUGCCAUUAGGGACUUCUUUGGCUCUUCGGGAUGUUUUCCACUACUCUCUUCCUCGCGCUCUGCUUUUUUGCGCAUCUGGACACUUUUACGCACGGGUGCCAGCUCCCCUCCGAGUGGCGGCCGCUGAGCGAGGGUUGCCGGGCGGAGCUGGCGGAGAUCAUCGUGUACGCCCGGGUCCUGGCGCUCCACCGAGAGCCCCUGGGCGGCGGGGCGGGGAACCUGUACAACUCGCUGCCCUUCGGGUUCGGGUACGGGUACGAGGGCGCGGAGGAAGGGCUACUGUACUCGGCAGAGGUGGAGCUGCUGUGCGACCAGGCCUGGGGCAGCAUGCUGGAGGUACCCUCCGGAUCUAGGCUCAACCUGACCGGGCUAGGGUACCUGUCCUGCCAGUCCCACACUGUGAUGGAGAACUACUCCUACUUCUUCUUCCUCAGGAUGGAUGAGAACUACAACAUCCUCCCCCACGGCGUCAACUUCCAGGACGCCAUCUUCCCCGACACAUCCGAGAACAGGCGUAUAUUCUCCAGCCUCUUCCAGUUCUCCAACUGCACCCAAGGGAGCCAGCCGUUCCACACCUUCAGCCCCGAGUGGGACACCCAGGAAGACAGCAGGCUGCUGUGUUCCUCAGUGCAGGCGGCGCUGUUUGAGGAGGAGGAGCGAGGCCGCAAGCUGCAGGAGCGCCUGGCCGCGGCGGAGAGGAGGAACCGGCAGCUGAAGGAGCGCGUUCGCAAGGUGAAGCGCUCCCUGAGGAACGCCCGCAAGGCCACGCGCAGGGCCGAGCAGGAGCUGCAGGAGCUGCAGGAGAAGCUGAUGGCUGCCAAGCGGAGAGAGGGGCAUCACCUCAAUGCCAUAACACAGGAGGAGCCUCCACCCGGGCGUUAUGCAAGCACAGCUGUGCGCCAGCAGAUGCAACUUUAACUUAUCCUACCUGCCCCAACCUGUUACCCACCUGGACUGAAAACUGGCUGUGGAGAGUGAGAGACUGCUGGGCGGUCUCUAAGUGGAGCAGUACUUUAGCUCAGCUGCCUUCCUGACUGGAUCCAGGGCUCCUCUCAGGCUGUGAUCACACUGGAUGUGUUUUUGCUCCAACACUAAGCACAGCUGUGAGUGAGCAAUAGUAACAGCAUCAGCGGGCACUUACAGGAGUGUAAAGAGUGACACAUUAAUGUGGUUGCCAUAGACAGCUGUCUUGUUCUCCCAACCUUAAGUAAGAGAAGUCAAAGGUUUAAAACAAAAAUCGCCUCAAUAAAGUAUAAAGUAUAAGUCUGUUUGAUGUCUGAUGAUGAGAACUAAGAAUUUGGUUAAAUAGGCGUUCAUGAUGACCACUCUUUAUCUUUACUAUCUUGCUUCAGAGCUGUGACAAUAAACACAAACAGUCAAGUUGCAGGCUGAAAAACCAAAACAAUGAACUGAAAGAUGCUAAAAUAGAGCAGAGUGGAACUGCAGAAUCAGGUGAUAUUUCUCUGUGGAUUUGUCACUGCAAGCAUCUCCUUCCUCAACACACACACUAAUCUGGCCUAUUGUUAAUAUAAAAAUAUUGAUCAUAGCAGCUUUAAGUAAAUGACAGACCUUUAGUGGCAUUUUUAGUCUUUACGUUUUUGUAGGUUUGUAUAACAAUCUGUCACAACCAAAAAUGUAACUCAAAGAAAAAACAUAUUCAAAUAGCUGUUUAUGUGACACAGCCUAAUGGAGCACUGAUUUUCUUUGAAACAUGCUGUGAUUAAGCAAAUUUUCUUGAAAUGAAAUUUUGAGAGUGGUAUGUCUGUGUAUGAGAAUUCUGGGAUGUUUGAGAAGGUUCAUUUUUUAUUACUCACGUCUGGAACAUCGGCUUGUAUGUGAAUAUUUUUGUAUGAACUUUUUUCUGCUUAUAAAAUUGAAAUUGAAGUUGGACGAAUAA